CCUACGGGAGGCAGCAGUGGGGAAUCUUGCGCAAUGGGCGAAAGCCUGACGCAGCAACGCCGCGUGCGGGAAGAAGGCUUUCGGGCUGUAAACCGCUUUCAGCAGGAACGAAAAUGACGGUACCUGCAGAAGAAGGAGCGGCCAACUAUGUGCCAGCAGCCGCGGUGAUACAUAGGCUUCAAGCGUUGUCCGGAUUUAUUGGGCGUAAAGAGUUCGUAGGCGGUCGAGUAAGUCGGGUGUGAAAAUUCUGGGCUCAACCCAGAGACGACACCCGAUACUGCUUGACUUGAGUUCGAUAGGGGAGUGGGGAAUUCCUAGUGUAGCGGUGAAAUGCGCAGAUAUUAGGAGGAACACCGGUGGCGAAGGCGCCACUCUGGAUCGAUACUGACGCUGAGGAACGAAAGCAUGGGUAGCAAACAGGAUUAGAUACCCUGGUAGUCCAUGCCGUAAACGGUGGGCACUAGGUGUGGGUUUCUAUUAACGAAAUCCGCGCCGUCGCUAACGCAUUAAGUGCCCCGCCUGGGGAUACGGUCGCAAGACUAAAACUCAAANANAUAGACGCGNGAGAGNGCGACGACGACGACGAGGAGAG
rnacentral:rRNA from 1 species